UCUUUGCCGUCGAUUUGCGGUGUCCCUUGCGGACUCAAUAGGGAAUCGGGUGUGAAUCCCGGACAGUUCCCGCUGCUGUGAUGGCUACAACGCUUGCCAUGAAUGCCACUGAAAGCCAUGUCUUUCGGGAAGGCGGCAAUGCGAGACCUCAGUCAGAAGACCUGCCUCAAGUCACUAAACAAG
rnacentral:ncRNA from 1 species